rnacentral:rRNA from 1 species
UACGUAGGGGGCUAGCGUUGUCCGGAAUCAUUGGGCGUAAAGCGCGCGUAGGCGGCCCGGUAAGUCCGCUGUAAAAGUCAAAGGCUCAACCUUUGAAUGUCAGUGGAUACUGCCGGGCUAGAGUCCGGAAGAGGCGAGUGGAACUCCUGGUGUAGCGGUGGAAUGCGCAGAUAUCAGGAAGAACACCGACGGCGAAAGCGGCGCUCUGGGCCGGAACUGACGCUGAGGAGCGAAAGCGUGGGGAGCAAACAGG